ACCCUAAAAUGGGAGGUGGGGGAGAAAUUACUGCCCUGGCCAGCGUCCCAGGACAGGCUGCAGAGUUCACAAUAAGCACACACUGUCCCUUCCCACCCUGCAGGACAGCCACCAGGCGUGGCCACAGGUUUUGGCCAGGAGAGGUUGUGGGCAGGAGAGGGCUUUGAGCAACUGUGUGGGGAGAGAGCCCAGUCUGGAGGUGAUCUAAGCUAGUGGGACACCCAAGAACCCCUCAUCCUGCUUCACAGCAAGGACUCCCUGCUACCCAGGGCUACGGCACAAGUGUGGCUGGGGUGGUCUGGAAGACAAAUGAGCUUCAACUCAACUCAGAUCAAGAGCAGAUGGGAAGAUUGGCAAAGAAGAUGCCUCUCUCAUCCAAGGCCAUGAAACCUGCCAGGCGAAUCACCAGAGGCACAGUCAUCUUGUUAUAACAGUAACUACUGGCAUUUAUCAAGCACUUAUUAUAUGCCAGGUACUGUGCUAAGCAACUGACCCUUUUAUUCUGCAGAACACACUGCAGAAAUGCUUGGGAUAAACUGCCCAGCUGGGCCUUGAGAGCCACUCGAGGCCAUGGGUAAAGAGCCCCGGAGGUCUGGUCUGGGGGAUGCUCUUCAGGGAGGCCCCGAGCUGCCUGGUUCUCAGGAAGUCCUCCCACCCCUACCCCCAGCCCCUUUCCGGGCCACCUCUACUAGGCCUGUCACGUUCCAGCACGCAAACGGGAAGAAUUCGCGCCACGGAGCUCCGACCUCAGCUCACUCAUAGGCCGUGCCCCACUCAACUGUCUGCCCUAAAAAGAAACACAAACUUGCUAACAGGGCCAGAACUCGGCCACUGUGAGCCUGGGAACUGCCCUGUGCCUGGACUUCCGGACAUCCGCUCUGUGGGGAAAGGGGGCCACACCCCCGUGCCAGAGGGGCUGCACCCCAGGGGCAGGGUGUGGUGGCUUUCUGUACGUACUGAAAUAAAACGGCAGUGCUGAGAA